rnacentral:lncRNA from 1 species
ACUACUUCAUCUUAAAUCUCCACUUGCAUGUAUAGAUUUGGUGCGCUUUCAAUCUGAAAAAAUAAAAAAAGAACAAAACACAAAUACAUGAUUACAAUAAAGUAGAAAAAUAUGUAUUUCAACACCUCAACACCAUAAGAAUGAUUUGUUCGAUCAGUAAGGUCCACAAAAUUUAUUUACACUCUUAUUUGGAAUGGGAAGGAGGAGAAAUCCACUACGAGUGAGGUGAGGGAACCAUCCUGCCCACAUCCGACAUUUAAGAGGCCUACUGAUUCGGACUACAACCAACUUUCACCAAAUAGAAAAAAUCUCUCCUCAACAAGAGUGAGCUUGGGGUUGAUUAUGUACUUAGCUGCCUCUCAUUACGUUUCUCAUAAACUUCACAUCUUCACAAAAGAAAAAAGAAAAAGUGGUUACUAC